AGCAGCCGCGGUAAUUCCAGCUCCAAUAGCGUAUAUUUAAGUUGUUGCAGUUAAAAGCUCGUAGUUGAAUUUUGGGUCUGGCCGGGCGGUCCGCCCUCCGGGUGAGCACUGUUCCGACGUCGGGCCUAUCCUUCUGGUGAGUCGGCAUGUCCUUUGUUGGGUGUGUCGGGGAACCAGGACCAUUACCUUGAAAAAUUAGAGUGUUCAAAGCAGGCCUUUGCUCGAAUACGUUAGCAUGGAAUAAUAGAAUAGGACGUGCGGUCCUAUUUUGUUGGUUUCUAGGACCGCCGUAAUGAUUAAUAGGGACAGUCGGGGGCAUCAGUAUUCAAUUGUCAGAGGUGAAAUUCUUGGAUUUAUUGAAGACUAACUACUGCGAAAGCAUUUGCCAAGGAUGUUUUCAUUAAUCAGUGAACGAAAGUUAGGGGAUCGAAGACGAUCAGAUACCGUCGUAGUCUUAACCAUAAACCAUGCCGACUAGGGAUCGGGCGAUGUUAUUGUAUUGACUCGCUCGGCACCUUUCGAGAAACCAAAGUGUUUGGGUU
rnacentral:rRNA from 1 species